ensembl:lncRNA
UGGUUUAAUGUGUUAAAAAUAAAACAUUCAAAACUGAAACCCUACGAAUAUACAAGGCACCAUUCCAGAGAUUAAUCUCGUAUUGACUGGGAGUUAUACGAAAGCAAAUACUUUAAGUAAAAACUGCAAGAAUCUCUAACGAGCUACAUAUCUAACAUGUGUUUCUCUCUACAAAAAAGUUGACGAAUCAAUGUGCUUAGUGUUUGAACAUGGAUGACCUGAUUCAGUGUCUAUGUUUAUGCAGCCCAAUGCAGAUUUUUCUCCCACUAAUUAUUUUGGUAGGUAUCACAAUUGAGAUGACUGUUUAAAUGCAGCCAAAUAUCUGGUGACAGUAUCUGGUGACAAUUACAACCAACAUUUCACAAAAAGUAAAAGCUUAAGCAAUAAACAUGCACUUACACCAUAGAGAUGUUUAGAGGCCUCAAGUGCCAAAAGACUGGCAUUGGCCAUUCAAGGCAUCCAUACAUUUUAAUGUCAUCAGGUAGGACAUUCCUCCUAUACAUUUUUCCGGAUGACCCAGUCAAUUGGGUGGCACUUUAAAAUUCACUGGCAGAUCCUUCCUUAUUACUCGGUUGGAAUCAAGUCAAGAUGAAGUUGGAUGUCCCACCCAAUUGAAGAAUGUCCAUUUCCAUCUCUCACAGACUCUAUAAUGGGAAAUGAUACUGGGAUGCGUCCUAUAAACGUCUCUAUGUCGUACACAUUCAUGCUUUAGCACACGUGACAGAGAGAAAGGGUUAGAAAAGUCUUUGGUAAAGAGAGGUCAACCAAAAGCACAGCUCAUAAUAGCAUGGGUAAGUCUGUUUAGCCUACAUUCCACUCCUUCUACUCCGUCUAACUAUGCCAAGAGACUGGCCUUAUAAACUCAAUGAUCAAAAUGCAGCUGGAUUUUGUGUGUGACAACUGUUGUUUUUAAACAUUUAACAUUAAAAAUUCCAUGACAACAUGUAAUAGCCUAGUUUGUGGUUCUCUUUAACUUAAAAUGUUGCUUGAUUUGUUUAUCUUCGAUAAAACACCCAUAGCAGUUCUUAGCUAGAAUGCUAAUGCUCAUUGGCAUAGGCUGGAAACAAAGCCAAAAAUAUAUUUUACUGGCUGAAGUUAAAGUGUUUAACAAUAAAUUGGUUAAAAUCUGAUUAUAAUCCAAAAGUAUGGUGAAUGCUCUCAUAAACACAUGUAAAUUGAACCUUUGUUUGCUGCCUGCCAAAAAAAAGCCCCCCUUGUUCUGCUACCAAAUUGCACACAUUUCCCUCAUGCCAUUUGGCAAUGCUUUCCAACAUAAAUAUUAGAAACAUGUAGUUGUUAGCUAUGCAAAUUGUUCUAUUUUGACCUAACAUUUUGUGAUUGGUAUUGAUGUACAUACAUAUUUUCAUAGAUGUAAACAAGUAACUUUGAAAGAAGGUUUUCUAUUGA